UGCAGUAAGCUCGUAGUUGGAUUUGUGGCUGUCACGGGCGGCCUAUCACUUAGUGUUAGUGCUUGCCUGUGUCGCCAUCCUUGGGUGGAGCCCGUGUGGCAUUAGGUUGUCGUGCGGGGGAUGCCCAUCGUUUACUGUGAGAAAAUUAGAGUGUUCAAAGCAGGCUUAUGCCGUUGAAUAUGUUAGCAUGGAAUAAUAAGAUAGGACCUCGGUACUAUUUUGUUGGUUUGCGCACCGAGGUAAUGAUUAAUAGGGACAGUUGGGGGUAUUCGUAUUCCAUUGUCAGAGGUGAAAUUCUUGGAUUUCUGGAAGACGAACUACUGCGAAAGCAUUUACCAAGGAUGUUUUCAUUAAUCAAGAACGAAAGUUAGGGGAUCGAAGAUGAUUAGAUACAAUUCGGUAGUCCAACGGGGGAAAACGUACUGGGACGUGAGAGGUGAAAUUCUUAGACCGUCUCAAGACGAACUACAGCGAAGGCAUUUUCCAAGGAUACCUUCCUCAAUCAAGAACCAAAGUGUGGAGAUCGAAGAUGAUUAGAUACCAUCGUAGUCA
rnacentral:rRNA from 1 species